AGGGCGCAGGGCGAAUGCCUUGGCACUGGGAGCCGAUGAAAGACGUGAUAAGCUGCGAUAAGCUUCGGGGAGCUGCAAAUAAGCAUUGAUCCGGAGAUUUCUGAAUGAGGAAACUCACCUGGGUUCAUACUCAGGUACGUUAUACUGAACUUAAAAAUAGGUAUAUCGAGGGAACCGCCUGAACUGAAACAUCUAAGUAGGGCGAGGAAGAGACAUCAAACGAGAUUCCGUAAGUAGUGGCGAGCGAACGCGGAAGAGGGCAAACCGGGAGUAGAAAUACUUCCGGGGUACGGAGCGCAUUUAAGACUUAAGUUGUUAACCGAACGGCAUGGGAAGGCCGGUCAGAGAGUGUGAGAACCACGUAGGUGAAAACGGAGAGAGCUGCGCAGGAUCCAGAGUACGGCCAGACACGUGAAACCUGGUCGGAAUACGGGGGGACCACCCUCCAACCCUAAAUACUACCCAGUGACCGAUAGCGUAUAGUACUGUGAAGGAAAGGUGAAAAGCACCCCGGGAGGGGAGUGAAAAAGAACCUGAAACCCUGUGCCUACAAGCACCUAGAGCACGUCAAUGUGUGAUAGGGUACUUUUUGUAGAACGGUCCGGCGAGCGAUUGUAUGCAGCAAGGUUAAGGACUUAAGGUCUGGAGCCGAAGCGAAAGCGAGUUUGAAAAGGGCGUUAAGUUGCAUAUAAUGGGCCCGAAACCGGGUGACCUACCCAUGGUCAGGUUGAAGUGGAAGUAAAAUUCCAUGGAGGACCGAACCGACCUCCGUUGAAAAGGCGGCGGAUGAACUGUGGGUAGCGGAGAAAUUCCAAUCGAACCCGGAGAUAGCUGGUUCUCCCCGAAAUAGUUUUAGGACUAGCCUCAAGUUAGAUACCUGGAGGUAAAGCACUGAAUAGCCUAGCGGCCGAGAGGUUAGCGAAGCUUAUCAAACUCAGAAUGCCAGAGUAUUGAUGCUUGGGAGUCAGACAGUGUCAGAUAAAUGUCAUUGUCAAAAGGGAAACAGCCCAGAUCUACAGCUAAGGUCCCAAAGUCAGGUUAAGUGGAAAACGAUGUGAAGAUACGCAGACAACCAGGAUGUUGGCUCAGAAGCAGCCACUCAUUCAAAGAGUGCGUAAUAGCUCACUGGUCGAGCGUCUUUGCGCGGAGAAUUUAACGGGGCUAAACCUGACACCGAAGCUUAGGCAAUACAGCAAUGUAUUGGGUAGGGGAGCGUUGUAUACGCGGUGAAACAGUAGCGCAAGCGGCUGUGGAGUGUAUAGAAGUGAGAAUGCCGGAAUGAGUAGCGCGAAUGCAGUGAGAAUCUGCAUGGCCGAAAGCCUCAGGUUUCUGGAGGAAGGUUCGUCCGCUCCAGGUUAGUCGGGAGCUAAGGUGAGGCCUAACGGCGUAGCCGAUGCACAGACGGUAGAGAUUCCGUCACCACCAAAAGAGUUAAACACAGGGACACAUUUGAAGUCUCGGAGCCGGGUGUUGGUUCCGGUAGCGAUCGAGGGAAAUUAGUACCGAAGUCCGGGAUGGAAGAUGGCGAGAAAAGCUGUGUGUAUUUCUGCGGUGCCCGUACCGCAAACCGACACAGGUAGGUAGGAAGAAGAUUCUAAGGCCAACGGGAGAAGGGUUGUUAAGGAACUCGGCAAAUUGACCCCGUAACUUCGGGAGAAGGGGUGCUCCAGAGAUGGAGCCGCAGAGAAUCGGCCCAAGCAACUGUUUACCAAAAACACAGGUUUGUGCUAAAUCGAAAGAUGACGUAUACGAGCUGACGCCUGCCCGGUGCUGGAAGGUUAAGAGGAGAUGUGCAAGCAUUGAAUCGAAGCCCCAGUGAACGGCGGCCGUAACUAUAACGGUCCUAAGGUAGCGAAAUUCCUUGUCAGGUAAGUUCUGACCCGCAUGAAAGGCGUAAUGAUUUGGGCACUGUCUCAACAGCCCGCCCGGCGAAAUUGUAGUACCGGUGAAGAUGCCGGUUACCCGCGACAAGACGGAAAGACCCCAUGGAGCUUUACUGUAGCCUAAUAUUGGGUUUCGAUGUUGCAUGCACAGGAUAGAUGGGACACAGGGAAACAAGUGCUUUGGCAUUUGUGGAGUGGCCGUUGGGAUACCAUCCUUGCGAUAUUGGAAUUCUAACCUGCGCCUUUGAAUCAAGGCGGGGGACAUUGUUAGGUGGGCAGUUUGACUGGGGCGGUCGCCUCCUAAAGA
rnacentral:rRNA from 1 species